rnacentral:rRNA from 1 species
UACGGAGGGUGCAAGCAUUGAUCGGAAUUACUGGGCGUAAAGGGCGCGUAGGCGGCCGUAAAAGUCGGAUGUGAAAUUCCGGGGCUCAACCCCGGAGCUGCAUUUGAAACUUUAUGGCUAGUGGGUAGUAAGGGAAAACGGAAUUCCACGUGUAGCGGUGAAAUGCGUAGAUAUGUGGAAGAACACCGGUGGUGAAGACGGUUUUCUGUGCUAUACCAGACGCUGAGGCGCGAAAGCUAGGGGAGCAAACAGG